UACAGGGGGUGCAAACGUUGCUCGGAAUCAUUGGGCGUAAAGCGCACGUAGGCGGUCUGUUAUGUCGGAUGUGAAAGCCCUCGGCUCAACUGAGGAAGUGCAUCCGAAACUGGCAGGCUAGAGUACUAAAGAGGGUCGCGGAAUUCCCGGUGUAGAGGUGAAAUUCGUAGAUAUCGGGAGGAACACCGGUGGCGAAGGCGGCGACCUGGGUAGAUACUGACGCUGAGGUGCGAAAGCGUGGGGAGCAAACGGG
rnacentral:rRNA from 1 species